AACGUAGGACGCAAGCGUUAUCCGGAGUUACUGGGCGUAAAGCGCGGGCAGGCGGUCUUGCCAGUCUGAUGUGAAAUCUCUCAGCUCAACUGGGAGCAGCCAUUGGAAACUACAAGACUGGAGUCUGGCAGAGGUAGGCGGAAUUCCGGGUGGAGUGGUGAAAUGCGUAGAGAUCCGGAGGAACACCAGUGGCGAAGGCGGCCCACUGGUCCGGUACUGACGCUGAGGUGCGAAAGCGUGGGGAGCAAACAGG
rnacentral:rRNA from 1 species